rnacentral:rRNA from 1 species
GAUGAACGCUGGCGGCGUGCCUAAUACAUGCAAGUCGAGCGAACAGAUGAGGAGCUUGCUCCUCUGACGUUAGCGGCGGACGGGUGAGUAACACGUGGAUAACCUACCUAUAAGACUGGGAUAACUUCGGGAAACCGGAGCUAAUACCGGAUAAUAUAUUGAACCGCAUGGUUCAAUAGUGAAAGACGGUUUUGCUGUCACUUAUAGAUGAUCCGCGCCGCAUUAGCUAGUUGGUAAGGUAACGGCUUACCAAGGCAACGAUGCGUAGCCGACCUGAGAGGGUGAUCGGCCACACUGGAACUGAGACACGGUCCAGACUCCUACGGGAGGCAGCAGUAGGGAAUCUUCCGCAAAGGGCGAAAGCCUGACGGAGCAACGCCGCGUGAGUGAUGAAGGUCUUCGGAUCGUAAAACUCUGUUAUUAGGGAAGAACAAAUGUGUAAGUAACUAUGCACGUCUUGACGGUACCUAAUCAGAAAGCCACGGCUAACUACGUG